rnacentral:rRNA from 1 species
AGGGUUUGAUCAUGGCUCAGAACGUACGCUGGCGGCACGCCUAACACAUGCAAGUCGAACGAAGUAGCAAUACUUAGUGGCAGACGGGUGAGUAACAUGUAGGUAUCUGCCCUUUGGCCUGGAAUAACACGAGGAAACUUGUGCUAAUACCGGAUAAGUCUUUACGGAGAAAGCUUUAUGCACCAUUGGAUGAGCCUGCACUUGAUUAGUUUGUUGGUGGGGUAAUGGCCUACCAAGACUGUGAUCAAUAGCUGAUUUGAGAGGAUGAUCAGCCACAUUGGGACUGAGACACGGCCCAAACUCCUACGGGAGGCAGCAGUGGGGAAUCUUGCACAAUGGAGGAAACUCUGAUGCAGCGAUGCCGCGUGAGUGAAGAAGGCCUUUGGGUUGUAAAGCUCUUUCGUCGGGGAAGAAAAUGACUGUACCCGAAUAAGAAGGUCCGGCUAACUUCGUGCCAGCAGCCGCGGUAAUACGAAGGGACCUAGCGUAGUUCGGAAUUACUGGGCUUAAAGAGUUCGUAGGUGGUUGAAAAAGUUGGUGGUGAAAUCCCAGAGCUUAACUCUGGAACUGCCAUCAAAACUUUUCAGCUAGAGUAUGAUAGAGGAAAGCAGAAUUUCUAGUGUAGAGGUGAAAUUCGUAGAUAUUAGAAAGAAUACCAAUUGCGAAGGCAGCUUUCUGGAUCAUUACUGACACUGAGGAACGAAAGCAUGGGUAGCGAAGAGGAUUAGAUACCCUCGUAGUCCAUGCCGUAAACGAUGUGUGUUAGACGUUGGAAAUUUAUUUUCAGUGUCGCAGCGAAAGCGAUAAACACACCGCCUGGGGAGUACGACCGCAAGGUUAAAACUCAAAUGAAUUGACGGGGACCCGCACAAGUAGUGGAGCAUGUGGUUUAAUUCGAAGAUACGCGCAGAACCUUACCAACACUUGACAUGUUCGUCGCGACUUUAAGAGAUUAAAGUUUUCGGUUCGGCCGGACGAAACACAGGUGCUGCAUGGCUGUCGUCAGCUCGUGUCGUGAGAUGUUGGGUUAAGUCCCGCAACGAGCGCAACCCUCACUUUUAGUUGCCAUCAUUAAGUUGGGCACUCUGAAAGAACUGCCAGUGAUAAGCUGGAGGAAGGUGGGGAUGACGUCAAGUCCUCAUGGCCCUUACGUGUUGGGCUACACACGUGCUACAAUGGUAUUUACAACAGGAAGCAAAACGGCGACGUUAAGCAAAUCCUUAAAAAAUACCUCAGUUCGGAUUGCACUCUGCAACUCGAGUGCAUGAAGCUGGAAUUACUAGUAAUCGUGGAUCAGCGUGCCACGGUGAAUGCGUUCCCGGGUCUUGUACACACCGCCCGUCACACCAUGGGAGUUGGUUCUACCUUAAGGCAAGGUUUCAAACCCUUGACCACGGUAUAGUCAGCGACUGGGGUGAAGUCGUAACAAGGUAGCCGUA